rnacentral:rRNA from 1 species
CGUAGGGGGCAAGCGUUGUCCGGAAUCAUUGGGCGUAAAGAGCUCGUAGGCGGCUCAGUAAGUCGGGUGUGAAACCCCCAGGCUCAACCUGGGGACGCCACCCGAUACUGCUGUGGCUAGAGUCCAGUAGGGGAGUGUGGAAUUCCCGGUGUAGCGGUGAAAUGCGCAGAUAUCGGGAGGAACACCAGCGGCGAAGGCGGCACUCUGGGCUGGAACUGACGCUGAGGAGCGAAAGCGUGGGUAGCAAACAGGAUUAGAUACCCUGGUAGUCCACGCCGUAAACGUUGGGCACUAGGUGUGGGGACCCUCCAACGGUUUCCGUGCCGUAGCUAACGCAUUAAGUGCCCCGCCUGGGGAGUACGGCCGCAAGGCUA